rnacentral:rRNA from 1 species
GGUUAAGCGACUAAGCGUACACGGUGGAUGCCCUGGCAGUCAGAGGCGAUGAAGGACGUGCUAAUCUGCGAAAAGCGUCGGUAAGGUGAUAUGAACCGUUAUAACCGGCGAUGUCCGAAUGGGGAAACCCAGUGCAAUUCGUUGCACUAUCGUUAACUGAAUACAUAGGUUAACGAGGCGAACCGGGGGAACUGAAACAUCUAAGUACCCCGAGGAAAAGAAAUCAACCGAGAUUCCCCCAGUAGCGGCGAGCGAACGGGGAGCAGCCCAGAGUCUGAAUCAGCUUGUGUGUUAGUGGAACGGUCUGGAAAGUCCGACGGUACAGGGUGAUAGUCCCGUACACCAAAAUGCACAGGCUGUGAACUCGAAGAGUAGGGCGGGACACGUGGUAUCCUGUCUGAAUAUGGGGGGACCAUCCUCCAAGGCUAAAUACUCCUGACUGACCGAUAGUGAACCAGUACCGUGAGGGAAAGGCGAAAAGAACCCCGGCGAGGGGAGUGAAAAAGAACCUGAAACCGUGUACGUACAAGCAGUGGGAGCACCUUCGGGUGUGACUGCGUACCUUUUGUAUAAUGGGUCAGCGACUUAUAUUCUGUAGCAAGGUUAACCGUAUAGGGGAGCCGCAGGGAAACCGAGUCUUAACUGGGCGUUAAGUUGCAGGGUAUAGACCCGAAACCCGGUGAUCUAGCCAUGGGCAGGUUGAAGGUUGGGUAACACUAACUGGAGGACCGAACCGACUAAUGUUGAAAAAUUAGCGGAUGACUUGUGGCUGGGGGUGAAAGGCCAAUCAAACCGGGAGAUAGCUGGUUCUCCCCGAAAGCUAUUUAGGUAGCGCCUCGUGAAUUCAUCUUCGGGGGUAGAGCACUGUUUCGGCUAGGGGGUCAUCCCGACUUACCAACCCGAUGCAAACUGCGAAUACCGAAGAAUGUUAUCACGGGAGACACACGGCGGGUGCUAACGUCCGUCGUGAAGAGGGAAACAACCCAGACCGCCAGCUAAGGUCCCAAAGUCAUGGUUAAGUGGGAAACGAUGUGGGAAGGCACAGACAGCCAGGAUGUUGGCUUAGAAGCAGCCAUCAUUUAAAGAAAGCGUAAUAGCUCACUGGUCGAGUCGGCCUGCGCGGAAGAUGUAACGGGGCUAAACCAUGCACCGAAGCUGCGGCAGCGACACUAUGUGUUGUUGGGUAGGGGAGCGUUCUGUAAGCCUGCGAAGGUGUGCUGUGAGGCAUGCUGGAGGUAUCAGAAGUGCGAAUGCUGACAUAAGUAACGAUAAAGCGGGUGAAAAGCCCGCUCGCCGGAAGACCAAGGGUUCCUGUCCAACGUUAAUCGGGGCAGGGUGAGUCGACCCCUAAGGCGAGGCCGAAAGGCGUAGUCGAUGGGAAACAGGUUAAUAUUCCUGUACUUGGUGUUACUGCGAAGGGGGGACGGAGAAGGCUAUGUUAGCCGGGCGACGGUUGUCCCGGUUUAAGCAUGUAGGCUGGUUGUCCAGGCAAAUCCGGAUAAUCAAGGCUGAGGUGUGAUGACGAGGCACUACGGUGCUGAAGUAACAAAUGCCCUGCUUCCAGGAAAAGCCUCUAAGCAUCAGGUAACAUUAAAUCGUACCCCAAACCGACACAGGUGGUCAGGUAGAGAAUACCAAGGCGCUUGAGAGAACUCGGGUGAAGGAACUAGGCAAAAUGGUGCCGUAACUUCGGGAGAAGGCACGCUGGUGUGUAGGUGAAGUCCCUGCGGAUGGAGCUGAGACCAGUCGAAGAUACCAGCUGGCUGCAACUGUUUAUUAAAAACACAGCACUGUGCAAACACGAAAGUGGACGUAUACGGUGUGACGCCUGCCCGGUGCCGGAAGGUUAAUUGAUGGGGUUAUCCGUAAGGAGAAGCUCUUGAUCGAAGCCCCGGUAAACGGCGGCCGUAACUAUAACGGUCCUAAGGUAGCGAAAUUCCUUGUCGGGUAAGUUCCGACCUGCACGAAUGGCGUAAUGAUGGCCAGGCUGUCUCCACCCGAGACUCAGUGAAAUUGAACUCGCUGUGAAGAUGCAGUGUACCCGCGGCAAGACGGAAAGACCCCGUGAACCUUUACUAUAGCUUGACACUGAACAUUGAGCCUUGAUGUGUAGGAUAGGUGGGAGGCUUUGAAGCGUGGACGCCAGUCUGCGUGGAGCCAACCUUGAAAUACCACCCUUUAAUGUUUGAUGUUCUAACGUUGGCCCCUUAUCGGGGUUGCGGACAGUGUCUGGUGGGUAGUUUGACUGGGGCGGUCUCCUCCCAAAGCGUAACGGAGGAGCACGAAGGUUAGCUAAUCCUGGUCGGACAUCAGGAGGUUAGUGCAAUGGCAUAAGCUAGCUUGACUGCGAGCGUGACGGCGCGAGCAGGUGCGAAAGCAGGUCAUAGUGAUCCGGUGGUUCUGAAUGGAAGGGCCAUCGCUCAACGGAUAAAAGGUACUCCGGGGAUAACAGGCUGAUACCGCCCAAGAGUUCAUAUCGACGGCGGUGUUUGGCACCUCGAUGUCGGCUCAUCACAUCCUGGGGCUGAAGUAGGUCCCAAGGGUAUGGCUGUUCGCCAUUUAAAGUGGUACGCGAGCUGGGUUUAGAACGUCGUGAGACAGUUCGGUCCCUAUCUGCCGUGGGCGCUGGAGAAUUGAGGGGGGCUGCUCCUAGUACGAGAGGACCGGAGUGGACGCAUCACUGGUGUUCGGGUUGUCAUGCCAAUGGCACUGCCCGGUAGCUAAAUGCGGAAGAGAUAAGUGCUGAAAGCAUCUAAGCACGAAACUUGCCCCGAGAUGAGUUCUCCCUGAGACUUUAAGUCUCCUGAAGGAACGUUGAAGACGACGACGUUGAUAGGCCGGGUGUGUAAGCGCAGCGAUGCGUUGAGCUAACCGGUACUAAUGAACCGUGAGGCUUAACCUU